CAUAUUACAGAUUAUUAUACAAGGAAAGUUCCCAACAAGGACAAUGAUGAAGACAAGAUUGGAUUUGAUCUCCGAGACAAUGAAAAGGCGACUAUGGAAGGAAAUGGAGAAUUCACAGACGAAUUGUACACAAGGAAAGCUGUUGAAAUAAUUGAAGCUCAUGAUGAUUCAACUCCUUUGUUCCUUUAUGUGGCUUUCCAGGC